rnacentral:rRNA from 1 species
UACGAAGGGUGCAAACGUUGCUCGGAAUUAUUGGGCGUAAAGCGCACGUAGGCGGCAUUGCAAGUCCCAUGUGAAAGCCCACGGCUUAACCGUGGAAGUGCAUGGGAAACUGCAGUGCUUGAGUACUUAAGAGGAUCGCGGAAUUCCCGGUGUAGAGGUGAAAUUCGUAGAUAUUCGGAAGAACACCAGUGGCGAAGGCGGCUCACUGGCCCGGUACUGACGCUGAGGUGCGAAAGCGUGGGGAGCAAACAGG